rnacentral:lncRNA from 1 species
GACUGAUUUGGAUCCCUUCUUCAAAUCUCUGAAGCCAUUCUAGAGGUUGAAGAUGAACUUCUGGAGAAGAUGAAGAGAUGAAAGAAAGAUGGAGAAAAAAUUAUUUUCUCUCUUCCCAAACCCAUAGGAAUAAAACCCUAGAAGACUAAGUUUUGCACACACCCAAAGAGAGAGGACUCUCCUCUCUUUUUUUUCACACCA